rnacentral:rRNA from 1 species
GACAGAGGCCCCAAGCGUUAGGCGGAAUCACUGGGCUUAAAGCGUGUGUAGGCGGACGCCUAAGUGUCUUGUGAAAUCCCACGGCUCACCCGUGGAACUGCUGGGCAUACUGGGCGUCUUGGGCCAACUAGGGGCAGCCGGAACAAGCGGUGGAGCGGUGAAAUGCGUAGAUAUCGCUUGGAACGCCGAAGGUGAAAACAGGCUGCUGGGGUUGCGCCGACGCUGAGACACGAAAGCCAGGGGAGGCAAACGGG